rnacentral:rRNA from 1 species
AUGCUGCUCUGGAUGCAGGCAAUAAGUUGGCGUCGGCGGGCCGGGGAGGCCGCACUGUGGAGAGCGGUGGCGUCGGGAGGCAUCUCCGACUGUCCGCGCAGCCAAGGUCAACCCAAAGGCGCCUGGUUGGACAAAGAUGGGAAGCCGGAGGCGGAGAAUAGUAGAUCUUGCAGAUGCGAGUGCCCUGCAUUGAUAAGGCUCUUGCCGACAGCUGAUAACAGUUGGUACAUGACAGAGCACUGUGAGGGGCACAACCAUUCCAUGUCUCUAACGAUGGGAGAGGGCGAUAUAUAUCGACGUCUAUUAUUAAAGAUUUGCUAA